UUCCAAAGGACACCCCACUUUCCAAGCAUUUGGUUCUGUCAUAUUUACACAUAAAAGCUGACCAUGACCACCGUAAAUGCCCCUGUGUGUCUCCUUGCUCGGAAUGAGUUUUAUCGGAGCAUCUGCCCAACAGACAAAAUAAAGGCAGUCAAUAGUCUUUCUGAUAACUUAAUGGAACCAAAGCAAAGACAAGUGACUUUCUGGGUGACCAAAUCCAAGCACCAAGAUUUAGGGCCAGUGAGUGAUGGCUGGACAAUAAAUGUGGUUUUAAAGAGCCCGGCAUCCAGGGGAACCUCUUCCAAACGGCAAAGCCCUGCUGAUCGUGAGGUGAAGUAGACACCUGCACAAGAAUAGCGUGUAGAGUGCUGAAAAAAAUAUAUGCUUUACUACAGACACAAUAUGUGAAUGUGCUGUUUAAAAGUGAGGCUUCUAGUUUUUAUUUUUUAGGGCCUCAAGCACGUAGGAUUGUAAGGAUUUUUGUUAUUAUUUUUCUGCUGUAAAACUGAUCAUGCAGACCAAACAAUAGGCCUGGAGACUUGAAACCUGGCCAGAGGGUAGAGCUCAAUUUGGGAAGUGACUGGCAAAGACUCACCCCAAUGCUAAAUAAUUGCAAAAUAAUGUGUGAUGUCUUUUUUCAUAUGUUUUUAAAUGCAUUAAAGUGCCAUGUUUUUUUCUUA